AUACGUAGGGGGCGAGCGUUGUCCGGAUUUACUGGGCGCAAAGGGUGAGUAGGCGGUUGUAUAAGUCAGAUGUAAAAGGCACAGGCUUAACUUGUGUAAGCAUUUGAAACUGUACAACUUGAGUGCAGGAGAGGUAAGUGGAAUUCCUAGUGUAGCGGUGAAAUGCAUAGAUAUUAGGAGGAACACCAGUGGCGAAGGCGACUUACUGGACUGUAACUGACGCUGAAGCACGAAAGCGUGGGGAGC
rnacentral:rRNA from 1 species